ensembl:lncRNA
AGAAAUGAGAAUUGGAAAUCUUUGAUGCCUCUUCAUGCAUUCCAUAACACCAGCAUGGAUCCACCUUCAAAUGGACCUCCGACUGGAGAAAUGACAGCUACGAAUACGACUAGGAGGUGGAGCCCCACGUCUUGCAUGUGUGCCAACAACGUGGUAACAAUACUUUACUUAUACAGAGCUGUCAUGAACCAUAAAAAUGUGAUUAAAACAACUUUUCACUCGAUUUGUUUCUCUGUAAGGCGCUUACUUUUAAUAACUAGAGUUAUGUGCACCAUGACUGGAGAGGGAAACAUUUUUUUAUAUGAAAAUAUAUAUUUUUUUAUAAAGCAGUUGAAAAGUGGUGCGUUACUACCUUUAUGCAGUGUCCAUCAAAUUAUAGGAUCAUACCUUGCUCACUUUUCUUGCUGUAUCAUAAACCAUGAGUUGUGGUUCAACAUCAGUUUAGCAGAAU